rnacentral:rRNA from 1 species
GAUGAACGCUAGCUAUAGGCUUAACACAUGCAAGUCGAGGGGAAACGGCAUUAUGUGCUUGCACAUUUUGGACGUCGACCGGCGCACGGGUGAGUAUCGCGUAUCCAACCUGCCCUUUACUUGGGGAUACCCCGUUGAAAGACGGCCUAAUACCCGAUGUAAUUCAUUGAUGGCAUCAGAUAUGAAUAAAAGAUUUAUCGGUAAAGGAUGGGGAUGCGUCUGAUUAGCUUGUUGGUGAGGUAAAGGCUCACCAAGGCGACGAUCAGUAGGGGUUCUGAGAGGAAGGUCCCCCACAUUGGAACUGAGACACGGUCCAAACUCCUACGGGAGGCAGCAGUGAGGAAUAUUGGUCAAUGGACGGAAGUCUGAACCAGCCAAGUAGCGUGCAGGAAGACGGCCCUAUGGGUUGUAAACUGCUUUUAUACGAGAAUAAUUUGAUGCACGUGUGCGUUAUUGCAUGUAUCGAUGAAU